rnacentral:rRNA from 1 species
GAUGAACGCUGGCGGCGUGCCUAAUACAUGCAAGUCGAGCGAACAGACGAGGAGCUUGCUCCUCUGACGUUAGCGGCGGACGGGUGAGUAACACGUGGAUAACCUACCUAUAAGACUGGGAUAACUUCGGGAAACCGGAGCUAAUACCGGAUAAUAUAUUGAACCGCAUGGUUCAAUAGUGAAAGACGGUUUUGCUGUCACUUAUAGAUGGAUCCGCGCCGCAUUAGCUAGUUGGUAAGGUAACGGCUUACCAAGGCAGCGAUGCGUAGGCGACCUGAGAGGGGGAUCGGCCACACGGGAACUGAGACACGGUCCAGACUACUACGGGAGGCAGCAGUAGGGAAUCGUACGCAAUGGGCGAAAGCCUGACGGAGCAACGCCGCGUGAGUGAUGAAGGUCUUCGGAGCGUAAAACUCUGUUAUGAGGGAAGAACAAAUGUGUAAGUAACUAUGCACGGCUUGACGGUACCUAAUCAGAAAGCCACGGCUAACUACGUG